AGACAUGAGCUUGUUUCUGGAUGAACUUCAGCAACCAAGACUUUACUAUGCGUCCUUGAAGAGGUUAGGAUAGGUCUAUGGGUUAUACAAAACAUGUUCAUUGCACAAAUCAUUCUUUGAUAACAAGGUUUCAGUUUGCUCACUUCUGAGCUUCUUUCAGAAUGAGCUGCUUUAGGGCCUCUGUCACUUUAAAUCCAAAUAAGCUGCUUUUGGCCACGCCCUCCAACUCAGUGUUUACGUUCAUAAGUGGAAAAGGCUGCAAAGUGAUGCACAAUUAUACCGUACAUUUUUGGAAAGCAUUAGUAGAGCCUCAUGCACAACCAUCAAGAAUGCAGCAGGUGAUUUCUCGAUAAUAAAUCAACAAAACUCUGAUUCCUGGAUCAACUUGUUCUCUGUUGAAAUGUUCUGAAUGUGAACAGGUCGAUGCAGCGCAGCGGGCUGCGACAGGGCUGGCUUCUGCAUGCGUCGCUGGAGCAACCCGAGGUGACCCCCCGCCGCUCCAGCAGCGUCACCAGGUCCCGGCUCUGGCCGUCCAGAGGGAGGAUGUGGCCGUUAAAACGGACGUCCCGCAGGCAGCCUGUACGGAAAAACGGCAACAUCUGAUUGAAAAGACAAACUGGCGGUUUACUUGAGGUGUCAGACCAAAGUUUUGAUGACUUUACCAGGCCAGAACAAGCUGUUGAACAAGGUGUAAACAGUGUAUCACGUAAAAUCAUGAAGGUCUAUCAAAACAACUCAAUGUUUGAAAGUCAAACUGUUAUCAGAAUGUAGUUCUGCUGCUUUCCAAACCAAAAUAAAACCGUUUCUCACUUGUUCAAAAUGCUUAGUAAGGUCUGAAUAUUAAUAAAGUAUAAAUUGGUGUUUUUCUUGUCCUUUAA